rnacentral:lncRNA from 1 species
CCUGUGGUCUUCAGCCUUCCCACUGCUUUUAAUGCCGCAGGAGCGGCCCACGUCUCAGAUGAUUGUCCUGGCACUGGCAGAUGACCUAAGAAGGCAAUAAACAGAUAAAGAAGAGAGACUUGGAAAUUCCUUGGCAUCACUUCUUCUGGAACUCUUGAUGGUAAAAUGACCACAUGCCAGAAAUUACACUGCAACUCUACUCCAGAAAAUCUGUGUGGCAUCUAAUUUUGGCGGAUUAACUGAGUCUUACUAUCCCAUACUUCAUGUGAGGGCUGUGCAAGGGAAGGGUAUACUCAUGGAAUUGUAGAAUGACAGCUGGAGAAACUGUACACUUUUUUUCUAUGUACAGUGUAUAUGCAUUUUUCUAAAACCUAAGUUCCGUGAGAGUACAGAGUGUUGUUCACAGCUCUCUCCUCAGCACCUAGCCCAGGGUGUGGCAGGUAGUAGGCACUCAUCAAAUUUCUGAUUAUGAAUGAAAAUUAAUGCAAAUCAGAUUCUUAGAAGAGUUCAGAUCUCAUGCAACAUCCUCAUUUCUGAUUCAUUUUCAGUAGCCAGAAAUGUUAGUAGGCUAACACUUCAGUUUCUCUGCUAAAUAAUUGAUGAACUAAAAAGGACUAAAAAUAUCAAGAGAAUUCACCUGUAAGGAGGAGCUCUGCACGCCUUCCAUUGUCGGCAUUAAGGAUAGCCCUUCAACUUACCUGCUUUGUAAAUGCAGGCAUUUUUAACAUUGAGUUUUCUUAAACUUCUGUCUCUGCCUCCCCAUUCUCCCUGCUGGGCACCUCCCCACCCCCUACCCCUGCCAGGUGCGUGCACAGGAACACACACACACAAGUGGCAGAGGGUCUCAUCUCUCUUUGCCACUAGCCUGGCACCUAUGGAAACAAACAAGGUCCUGUGCAGCCACCUAGUGGUGUCUCCUCACCCCUGCAGUUCCACAUGGCUUCUAAAGGAAAUAACAGAGGGCACUGGGAGGCACUGAGAUACUUUGAAGACGGCCCACUUCCUCAAGGCAUCUGGGACCUCACCCAGAGGGUCUCCAACCUUCACAGGUCCCAGGGUGCUGAGCCUAAGAAGGAGAUGGAAGUAAAAGACCAGCACGAUCAGACACACACCAUUAGAAAUACCUUUCUUCUCAUUUCAUACUCCACCCUGCAGUACCACUGUGAGUGCUACCAUCCCGAGAGCACCUUGCCUUUGUGGAUUUGACCAGUUUUCACCUGAGUAGUAAUGUAUCUUACGUCCACUGGAACCUUCCUUUACCCACGGACAGCUCUGUGUAAGCCUUUCUCGUCUGCCUACUACUUCUGCCUAUAAAUUAUUAGGUUUCUCCAUUUAAAAUAAACGGAAUUUCCCUCAAGCUUACGAUCCAUACUCAUCCACACCCACACUCCUCGCCAGUGUCUCCAAAGAGCAGUUUAUUUUGACCACUCUGUUCUGACCCCAUUCCCAUCUGGCUUCUGUCCUAAGCAUGGUGGAAAUUGCCUUUUUGGAGGUUGCUCAUGACUUUCUACUUGCCAAAUCCAAA